GCCGCGGUAGCUCAGCCGGUAGAGCAGGGGACUGAAAAUCCCUGUGUCGGCGGUUCAAUUCCGUCCCGCGGCACCA
rnacentral:tRNA from 1 species